CGGUAGCUCAGUUGGUAGAGCGGCUCACUGUUAAUGAGCAUGUCCCAGGUUCGAGUCCUGGCCG
rnacentral:tRNA from 1 species